rnacentral:rRNA from 1 species
CGAAAGCGUAUAUUAAAGUUGUUGCAGUUAAAAAGCUCGUAGUUGAACCUUGGGCUUGGCUGGCCGGUCCAUCUUUUUUGAUGCGUACUGGACCCAGCCGAGCCUUUCCUUCUGGCUAGCCUUUUGGCGAACCAGGACUUUUACUUUGAAAAAAUUAGAGUGUUCAAAGCAGGCCUUUGCUCGAAUAUAUUAGCAUGGAAUAAUAGAAUAGGACGUUAUGGUUCUAUUUUGUUGGUUUCUAGGACCAUCGUAAUGAUUAAUAGGGACGGUCGGGGGUAUCAGUAUUCAGUUGUCAGAGGUGAAAUUCUUGGAUUUACUGAAGACUAACUACUGCGAAAGCAUUUACCAAGGACGUUUUCAUUAA